rnacentral:rRNA from 1 species
GAGUCGGGAUAACACCUGGAAACAGAUGCUAAUACCGGAUAACAACAGAUGAUGCCUAUCAACUGUUUAAAAGAUGGUUCUGCUAUCACUCUUGGAUGGACCUGCGGUGCAUUAGCUAGUUGGUAGGGUAACGGCCUACCAAGGCGAUGAUGCAUAGCCGAGUUGAGAGACUGAUCGGCCACAUUGGGACUGAGACACGGCCCAAACUCCUACGGGAGGCAGCAGC